rnacentral:rRNA from 1 species
UUGUCGGGUAAGUUCCGACCUGCACGAAUGGCGUAAUGAUGGCCAGGCUGUCUCCACCCGAGACUCAGUGAAAUUGAACUCGCUGUGAAGAUGCAGUGUACCCGCGGCAAGACGGAAAGACCCCGUGAACCUUUACUAUAGCUUGACACUGAACAUUGAGCCUUGAUGUGUAGGAUAGGUGGGAGGCUUUGAAGUGUGGACGCCAGUCUGCAUGGAGCCGGCCUUGAAAUACCACCCUUUAAUGUUUGAUGUUCUAACGUGGACCCGUGAUCCGGGUUGCGGACAGUGUCUGGUGGGUAGUUUGACUGGGGCGGUCUCCUCCUAAAGAGUAACGGAGGAGCACGAAGGUUGGCUAAUCCUGGUCGGACAUCAGGAGGUUAGUGCAAUGGCAUAAGCCAGCUUGACUGCGAGCGUGACGGCGCGAGCAGGUGCGAAAGCAGGUCAUAGUGAUCCGGUGGUUCUGAAUGGAAGGGCCAUCGCUCAACGGAUAAAAG